UUACCCAAGCAAGCCAGGAAGGAGGAGGCAGCCAAAGUGGCCACCACUGCAGCAGACACCUUGCUGCCCUGCCCAACCCAGCCCAGCAUUUGCCAGAAUGAAUGUCAACUAUCCAACUGUAUUAUUGAGGAGAUCAUGACACACGAAGUUGGAUGAUGUCAAAGUUCACAAUAUAUAUUCAAGGAACUGCCUGAUUCAUGAAGAGAUUGAACUCCAGAGGUUCCAUGGAAUUUGUCAGGAGUCUUCAGUCAGAAGGACAGCAAUGCUGAACAAGCUUCCCUGAAAGACUGCUUCUUAAACACCAAUAUUACUGGGAAGUCAGGACUUCAUUAAAGGGAUUCUGCCUGUCCAUUCACUGCACCUAAGCCUGCAAGAAGAGUGGAAGUUGCUGGAAUGGAAGAUUGAGGUGCCUGGCUCUGCAUCACAACUGGGAGGCUUUGAGUCUGUACCACCCCAAAGUUUGACCCAGGGUCUUCUAAGAUUUCAGAACAGUACAAGGCAAUAUAUAAUCCUUACAACUUUGACAGCCCAGUCCUAUGCAUGUUUGCUUAGAAGCAAGUCCCAAUGAGUUUCAGAAUUUCUGAAGUUGGUCAGAGUUGUCUCAGAAGAAGAAGCUUCCUAGAGAAGUUAAAACCAACUUGGGGAACAUUCAAACUUAAUUCCAGCUGAAGUUCAGUCAGCAAGCAAAAGAAUGAGAUGGUAAUGAGACUCAUCAUUGUUGGCAGAAGACCAAGACAGAGCUGUGGAAAGUACCCAAUUAUUAUUAUUUUUCUGCAACCUACCAUUUAGAAGAAGGCAUCAAGCCAAUGACAUAAUUAGGGAAACACUGACACAUAUCUUUCCCAAGUCAUGAUCAAUAUGGAGUGAUCACGUCCAAAAUGUAUGGAUAAUGAAAUCAUCAGCUUUGCAAAAAGGUAUAUACACAUCUUGGGGAGAUGAAGGUCUAUGAACUUCCAACUUCGAAGACAUCCUAUUGCCUGGGGCAGUGGAAACAUGGUCUACCAAAAGCCAUAGCUCCAAUCUCAAGCCUAGAUCAACUUUGGAUAAUUUUCAGCUUUGGAUAUGUGGGUGAAUAUAUAAAUAAAUGAGGGUCCUUUGAAAUAAUAUGCUUAGAUACUAUAUGUGAAAGUUGGCUUCUAAA